GGCGACCGGCGCACGGGUGAGUAACACGUAUCCAACCUGCCGAUAACUCGGGGAUAGCCUUUCGAAAGAAAGAUUAAUACCCGAUGGCAUAAUUAGACCGCAUGGUCUUAUUAUUAAAGAAUUUCGGUUAUCGAUGGGGAUGCGUUCCAUUAGGCAGUUGGUGAGGUAACGGCUCACCAAACCUUCGAUGGAUAGGGGUUCUGAGAGGAAGGUCCCCCACAUUGGAACUGAGACACGGUCCAA
rnacentral:rRNA from 1 species